AGGUACUCCGGGGAUAACAGGCUGAUACCGCCCAAGAGUUCAUAUCGACGGCGGUGUUUGGCACCUCGAUGUCGGCUCAUCACAUCCUGGGGCUGAAGUAGGUCCCAAGGGUAUGGCUGUUCGCCAUUUAAAGUGGUACGCGAGCUGGGUUUAGAACGUCGUGAGACAGUUCGGUCCCUAUCUGCCGUGGGCGCUGGAGAACUGAGGGGGGCUGCUCCUAGUACGAGAGGACCGGAGUGGACGCAUCACUGGUGUUCGGGUUGUCAUGCCAAUGGCACUGCCCGGUAGCUAAAUGCGGAAGAGAUAAGUGCUGAAAGCAUCUAAGCACGAAACUUGCC
rnacentral:rRNA from 1 species